AAUCUUUUUGUAGCUUCUGUCCUGGAUCCAGAGCCCAGGUGUCUGUGCUAUGCAGAAUCUGAAAAAAAACCACAGGGAGAACGCUGAGAACCUUGAGAGCCAGGAGAUGGAACUGUUAACAUUUAUGGAUAUAGCCAUUGAUUUUACUGAAGAGGAGUGGGAAUGCCUUCAGUCUGCUCAGAAAAAUUUAUAUAGAGAUGUGAUGCUAGAGAAUUAUAGAAACUUUGCCUUCCUGGUGAUGUCCCAGUUUAUUCAAAUUAGCCAUCAAAACUUACCUUUUGUUCUGAGAGCCAGCAUGAUCUGUUUCAUAUCUUCUUGUAAGGAGACUUUUAAAGAAGCAAAGAGAAGAGAGAGACACACACAGUGAAAAGGAAAAAAGAAAAAAAUAACUGGCCACCCCUCUUAACAGCUGCACAUAUAAUACUCCAAAAUUACAUACCUUCUGAUAUCAUGAAUACAUUCUAACCCAGUUUUUCUUUAAGCCCAAGUGCUAGCUAACCAAUAUUAGGAACAGUUAAUACAAAUAUAGAGCCCCUUCUCCCUAAGGACAUUACCACAGAAACUAGAUAGUGCACCUGUAGAGUUGUCUUAAUAGCUUCAGGGAGAAACUGUUGGGCAUUACAAUUUUGGGACUCAGGGUGCCAGUUACAAUCACUCCAACACUUUCCUGUCUAUUCCAAGGUCAGAAUACAUAAUACCUCCCCUCUUUUUAAAGGCCUUUUGAAUAAAUAAUAUUACUUAUCUCCGUAAUGCUGGUGGGGGCAAAAAAUAGGGCAGACAUAGACAACAGCAAGUUCCAACAUCAGUAAACAUCCACCUAUGAAUAUUUUUGACCCAGAUGAAAUUGAGUAAACAUGAAGUUAACCAAUCCAACAAGUCCAAAAUCCAUCAUCUUGUUCAACCUUAUUAAUGAUAUCUUUAAGGUAAUCUAAGUCUUUUGAAAUAAAAUUACUA
rnacentral:lncRNA from 1 species